GGGGAUGGCUGAGCGGUCGAAAGCAGCGGUCUUAUAAACCGUAGACUGUAAAAGGUCCGGGGGUUCGAAUCCCUCUCCCUCCA
rnacentral:tRNA from 1 species